GAAGCAGGGGGGACCACCCUCCAAGGCAAAACACAGAUAUCGACCGAUAGCGCAUAGUACCAUGAGGGAAAGGUGAAAAGCACCCCGGGAGGGGAAUGAAAGAGAACCUGAAACCGUAUGUUUACAAGCAGUCGGAGACCGCUUAAUAAUAAGGUCGACGGCGUGCCUAUUGAAGAAUGAACCGGCGAGUUACGAAGCCUGGCAAGGUUAAGCAGGAAAUGCGGAGCCGAAGCGAAAGCGAGUCUUAAGAGGGCGCAAGUCAGGAAGCGUAGACCCGAAACCACAGUGAUCUACCCAUGUCCAGGUUGAAACACAGGUAAAAAUGUGUGGAGGACCGAACCUAUAUCCGUUGAAAAGGGUUAGGAUGAGGUGUGGGUAGGGGUGAAAUUCCAAUCGAACGUGGAGAUAGCUGGUUCUCCCCGAAAUAGCUUUAGGGCUAGCCUCAGGGAAAAGAUUGCAGGCGGUAGAGCACUGAUCAGGAGAGGGACCUACCCGGUUACCAAACCCAGUCAAACUCCGAAUGGCUGCAAUCAUACCUGGGAGUCAGACUGCGACUAAUAAGGGCCGCAGUCAAAAGGGAAACAGCCCAGACCAUCAGCUAAGGUCCCCAAUGCCGUGCUAAGUGGCGAAGGAUGUGGCAUUUCAUAAACAACCAGGAUGUUGGCUCAGAAGCAGCCACCAUUUAAAGAGUGCGUAAUAGCUCACUGGUCGAGAGACGCUGCGCCGAAAAUGUCCGGGGCUCAAGCACGGAACCGAAGCUAUGGCAUGAUAGCAAUAUCAUGGGUAGGGGAGCGUUCUUAUAAGGAAGAAGCAUGACCGGAAGGACAUGUGGACGAAUAAGAAGUGAGAAUGCCGGUAUGAGUAUCGAAAAGAAAGGUGAGAAUCCUUUCCACCGAAAGCCCGAGGGUUCCUGAGCAACGAUCGUCGACUCAGGGUAAGUCGGGACCUAAGCCGAGGCGAGAAGCGUAGGCGAUGGACAACAGGUUGAAAUUCCUGUACCGGAUCAAGUCGAUCGAGCGAAGGAGCGACGCAGGAGGGCACAUGAUCGCGCGGCUGGAAGAGCGCGUCCAAGUGCGUAUGUUGCAGCAGAGGAAAACCCCUGCGGCAGAAAGCAGAGACAUGAUGGGGAGUUAAAGGAAACUUUGACGAACUCAUGGAUCCCACACUGCCAAGAAAAACUUCUAGCGAGACAAGAUCCGCCCGUACCGUAAACCGACACAGGUAGGCGGGGAGAGAAUCCUAAGGUGCGCGGGAAAACCCUCGUUAAGGAACUCGGCAAAUUGCAUCCGUAACCUAGGGAGAAGGAUGGCCCCCGGUCAGUGAAGAGCAGAAACGCUCAGAGCUAAAAGGGGCGGCAGAAAAGAGGCCCAAGCAACUGUUUACCAAAAACACAGGUGCCUGCGAAAGCGAAAGCUGAAGUAUAGGUGCUGACGCCUGCCCGGUGCCGGAAGGUUAAGGAGAGAAGUUAGCGAAAGCGAAGCAUCGAACUGAAGCCCCGGUGAACGGCGGCCGUAACUAUAACGGUCCUAAGGUAGCGAAAUUCCUUGUCGGGUAAG
rnacentral:rRNA from 1 species